UACGUAGGUGGCAAGCGUUAUCCGGAAUUAUUGGGCGUAAAGAGCGCGCAGGUGGUUAAUUAAGUCUGAUGUGAAAGCCCACGGCUUAACCGUGGAGGGUCAUUGGAAACUGGUUGACUUGAGUGCAAAAGAGGGAAGUGGAAUUCCAUGUGUAGCGGUGAAAUGCGUAGAGAUAUGGAGGAACACCAGUGGCGAAGGCGGCUUCCUGGUCUGCAACUGACACUGAGGCGCGAAAGCGUGGGGAGCAAACAGG
rnacentral:rRNA from 1 species